rnacentral:rRNA from 1 species
GAUGAACGCUGGCGGCGUGCCUAAUACAUGCAAGUCGAGCGAACGGACGAGGAUCUUGCUUCUCGGAUGUUAGCGGCGGACGGGUGAGUAACACGUGGAUAACCUACCUAUAAGACUGAUAUAACUUCGGGAAACCGGAGCUAAUAGCGGAUGAUAUUUUGAACCGCAGUGUUGAAAAGAAAAAGACGGUGUUUCGGGCACGUCUAGAUGGAUCCGCGCUGGAUUAGAUAGUUGGUGAGUUAACAGGUUACUAAGGCAACGAUGCAUGGCCGACGGGAGGGGGGGAUCGGCCACCCUGGAACUGAGCCACGGUCAAGGGUCCUACGGGAGGCCGCAGUAGGGAAUGUUCGGCAAUGGGCGAAAACAUUACGGAGCAGCGGCAAGUGAGUGAUAAAGGUCUUCGGAUCGUAAAAAUCUGUUAUUAGGGAAGAACAUAUGUGUCAGUAAAUGAGGACAGAUUGACGGUAACUAAUAAGAAAGCAACGGCUAACUACGUG